rnacentral:rRNA from 1 species
GAUGAACGCUGGCGGCGUGCCUCAAACAUGCAAGUCGAGCGGGGCUAUGUAAUAUCGCAAGGUAGAACAUAGCCUAGCGGCGAACGGGUGAGUAACACGUGGGUAACCUGCCUGGAAGACAGGGAUAACGAUUCGAAAGGGUCGCUAAUACCUGAUAAUAUCCUUUCAUCGCAUGGUGAUAGGAAGAAAGGGGAAACCCGCUUUCAGAUGGGCCCGGUCCCAUCAGCUAGUUGGUAAGGUAAAGGCUUACCAAGGCGACGACGGGUAGCCGGUCUGAGAGGAUGUACGGCCACACUGGGACUGAGAUACGGCCCAGACUCCUACGGGAGGCAGCAGUUGGGAAUCUUAGGCAAUGGACGAAAGUCUGACCUAGCGACGCCGCGUGAGGGAAGAAGGCCUUCGGGUUGUAAACCUCUGGUCAUGGGGGAAGAAGUAAGUGACGGUACCCCAAGAGGAAGCCCCUGCUAACUACGUG